rnacentral:rRNA from 1 species
CUACGGGUCGCUCCAGUAAAGAAUCUUCCACAAUGGACGAAAGUCUGAUGGAGCGACACCGCGUGCAGGAUGAAGGCCCUUGGGUUGUAAACUGCUUUUUUGGGGGAAUAAUUAUGAAUGUACCCUAAGAAUAAGUACCGGCAAAUCAUGUGCCAGCAGCCGCGGUAAUACAUGAGGUACAAACGUUACCCGGAAUUAUUGGGCGUAAAGCGUCCGUAGGUGGCGUAUUAAGUCAGGUGUUAAAUCUUGAGGCUCAACAUCAAGUCUGUGCCUGAAACUGAUAUGCUAGAGUGUUGGAGAGGUGAAUGGAAUUUUGUGUGUAGGGGUAAUAUCCGUAGAUACACAAAGGAACACCAAAAGCGAAGGCAGUUCACUGGCCAAUUACUGACACUGAUGGACGAAAGCGUGGGGAGCGAACGGGAUUAGGUACCCGCGUAGUC